UAUAUUUCAAGUUUUUUCUCUUCACAUUAAAUAUUUGGUUUGCUGUUAAUGAGUGAUAUCUAGCAAAAAGUCUAGGAUCUUUAGGAUUUAAGGCUACAUGCUAAGCUAACCGCGUCCUAGCAUGUUUAAAGUUACUCACAUGACAUUAAACUUGAACCACAACUUAUUCAACCAUGGUCCACUUUCCCAGUAAACUACUUUAGCCUCAUUAAAAGAUAACACAGUGGCAGUCUGGUGGUGUUGUACCUGCAAAAAUAAAUAUUAAUAGUGGUCAUUAAUUUCAAAUUUAGAGAUUGACUGGAGUCAUUAUUUCCAAACCUUGACAGUCUGGGGUGAGCUGGAUAAUUAAUGUGAAUGUUUUGACACAUUCGUACUCAGCAGCUCCAACGGUGCGUAUUAAGCGAGAGGAGACAUAUGAUAAUAUCAGCUCAGUAUAAUCCUCAUAUAUAUGAUAAUUACACCUGGCUUUACAACAUGCGUCGCCUCAUUUUCAUGGUCGCAGCUGUAAAUGAUUCUCAGCACGAUUAAAACUCAUUUCAUGGAGAUAGUUUGAUUUUUUUUUUUCAACACCACACCUGGAAAAACGGCACAAAAACACAGAUAAUAGCUGCUGAAUAUAGUUAAAAUCUCCCUGCAGCUCCUUACCAAGUGCAGCAGAGUUUAAUUAAUUGCUCUAAAUUUUCAUUCAGUGCCCUGUUUUUCAUUUUUCAUUUGCUUUAUUUUCUUGAAGGUUUUUGUUAUUUGAAAUAAUUUCCCAUGUGACAUGUAGCUGUUAAGACAAUUUUAUUUCAAAAUCAUAACUCAUAACCAAGGGAUACCAAGCUGUGUUUGGUUAGGAGUCAACUUUCAGGCUCCCUAAUGAGUCUAAAACCAAUGUUUACUCUUCGUUUAGCUCAUCUUUUUCAUCUUUACUCUUGCUCUGCUGCUGCUAUUUGCUGAAAUAUAUUUUCACCAUUUGAAUAGCUUUCAAAUGGUGGUUCUUGGUUUUCCUAGAACUGAUGUUAUUCCUGAGAGCGAUGAAACUAUCCCAAAUGUUUUGUAAUCCAUCUGCUACAUUUUAUUGCAGUAAUUCUGCAGAAAAGUUCAACUGAAAAAGAGGAGGAUAAAACAAUUCAAGAACCUUCCCAUCCUAAUACUUUAUUAAUUCACUUUUGAUUAAAUCUCACCACACUCUGGCUUUCUCUUUCUUUUUUUUCUUAUGUAAACACUUGGCAGUACAUACGCUCAUGUACAUACUGUUCUACUCAUUCUUUAUUUCCUCUAAAGUUCACUUAAAACUGAAGUCAGAUUCUGUUUGUGCUCAGAAUCAUGGCCAAUAAAACUGAUUCUGAUUCUAAUGACACUUCUAAGACAAAUUAGGAAAUAAAUAAGUCAAAGUUGUAAAGAAAACACAGAGCUGCCACAGCUAACAGGCGGCAACAGAAAAAAAAAGGGGGAGGAGCUGUCAGUUACUGGUUACUAUGGUAACCACCAACUGCCAAACGAAGCAGCGCAACAGGACUUAAAACACCAACAAAUGUCUGAAGAAACAACUUUUUGACUUAACAAAAUGGAUUAAAAUAAAACCUCAAGAAAGGACGGACCCAUGUGUUUUGGUGUUUUGCUAGCUAACCGUUUAAAUUAUUACUAUAUGAUUAAACAGUCAUUGGUAAAAGGACUUUCUAAGUAGAGAUAAAACUUUACAGAUUAGUAUUACUAUGAACCAUUUAAAAUCUACAUUUAGAAAAUAUCUGUUGCUUAGAGAGAGAGAGAGACAUUAUGAUGAAUCAGUGUUGCUACAGCAACAUGCUUUUACUCUGAAAAGUUUCUUUGUUUUUACUUUAUUGCCUUUUGGUUAAUUGUUCUGUAUUCAGAUUCGGGAGCGAUUCCAAUAGUUUGAUUCAUAAUCCAGAUGUUUUCCACAUAUUGAUUGCAUCCAUCAUUUACACACAUUGGGCAUCAUUCCUCAGCACAACUCAGACUUUAUUCUGUUUUAUUUUAAUCAUUUUUUAUGUGAUUUUUAAAAAAACAGUAUUUAUUGAAGUGACCAUAAUUUGGCUUGUGUUGGUAGGAAUGACUCAGUUAUACCCCAAAGCUAUUUCUUAAAAAAAAAAGGUUUGAAAAGGAAAAAUAAAACAACAAAACAGAAUAGAUAACAUCAAAUAAAAUACCAAAAAUUAAUAAAUAUGACCUAAAACUGACCCUAUGUAGAGGGCUAGUAUGAACACACAUUAAAGUAAAAAAUAAAAAUAAUAGAAAAAGAAAUCUAAAUAAAGAUAUUUAUAUAAAUAAUAUUUUAUGUUUAUACUUUGUUAUGUUUAUCUAUGAUAACAGUAAGAAUAGAAAAUUAUAUAAUUUUAAAAAUAAUUAAAUAAAAAUAAAUGCAUUGAUUUUGCCAAUAUUUCUAGACAAAUAUUUUUACUUUAAUUAAAUAAGCAAGAGGCAUCUACUGUUAGUAUGAAACUAACAAACAAUCAUUCUUGUGAAUAUUUUCCAAAUUAUCACAUAAUUGGCCUUAAUUAAAGUAUUAGAUACUUCGAUCCAAUAACUUUUAGAGAAAUCUAUGGAAGAAGAUUAGGACCAAAAAAGAAGAGGAUUCUGACUUUUGAUCUCAGGAGAUUAAAGUCAAAAUUCUGAGAAAAAUGUCAAAAUUAUUAUUUUUUCCAGUGUCCCUAAUCCUCUUCCUUAGAAACCAGAACUCAGCAACAAAUGUAGAGUUAAGAAAACAAACAAAGAAAGUUUGUUUUACAGAAACAACUCCAGGGCAGAAGUGUUUCUGAGCAGCACAGAAAUGUCAUGUUGUUUCACUCAGAGGAGACAGCGGGUCGAUCCUCCUGACUGACAUCUGCGGCUGACAGGUGGGCCGGCUGUAAAUCAUCACAAACUCUCUCUGGUCUGAGAUCAAACUGACCCGCUCGGCCUCGUUUCCUGCCACCCCUCCUUCAGCUGCGGCGGAGAGGAAGAGGAAGAGAAACUCGCUGACUUGUACACAAACUCUGCAUGAAUUAAACAUGGAGACAAUCCCAGGAACUCUGAGAAGAUACACAAACAAGACGGAGAGCGGCGAAAACGAAGGAAGUCAAAAUAAGGGUUUGACACCCGGCCCAUCCUCUGGGUCGUCCAGAACAUUAAAAAAAAAAAAACGAAACCGCAAAUCUCCGCUCUGAGAUCUAGGAGGUCGAAUUUACAGCCUCCGAAUCUGACGAAAACUCUUUAAAAUUCACUACGACGACGCUGCGGUGUCGUAAACCAUUCCCUCAGGUUUCAAACAAACAGACGAAUAAAGCAGAUGGAUCUUAUCAUCACUGCAUCAUGGCGUGUGUCACAGCCGAGGUGAGUAAACUGCGCCCACGCCGCAACCGCUUUAUCAUAAAUAAUCCCAGCAGACACAAAUAUCACUUAUUCAGAAAAAAACAUGUCUGGUCUAGUGAAUUAAAAUCAUUCCUUCAGCAGAAAACAGGUAAAAGGUGAAUUUAAUUACAAGGCAGAAGGUUUGAGUGACCCAGUUCUGAAGAGAAACUCCCUCACAUGCUGGUAUUUUCUAACCAAAUCCUGGCAGGAAGCCUGAAUCAGUGGGAGUUCAGGACAGAAAAAACCCGGCCUCAGCCUACAAAUACAGAAAAAAGUCAACACAUAGGUAAAAUCCACAAGUAUUCUGACCCAUCCGCAAGCAAACCCCCCCCCCCGUCUUCCAGUAGGUGAGCAUCUAAAUCUGUGACGCAAGAGGAGGAUCUGAAAAGUCACAGUUUCCCUGCAGCAUCCUCUGCAAACCCUCCUCCGCCGGCUGGCAGGCUGUUUCCUAGCUACCUGACUCAGACGAGGCUCUGCUUCUCACAUUUACUGCGUUACCUUCAAGAAGCGAAGCGACUGAAAUUAUUUUCCUCAAACGGCAAGAAAAUCUUACAAAAGGACGAUUAUAACUUGUUUUCCCUUUCUGUUAACCUCAUAAGCCUCACAGUUUGUAUUUGAAAUAACAUACCUGAAUCUAAUUUAGUUUUUCUCACCAAUUACAAACCGUAUUUCAAUAGUGGAACAGAAAAUAAUUUGGAUGUUUUUGUGCCUCGCAUUAGAAAUAACCAUAUAUCUCUAUUACUAUACAGAGAUUGAUGCAGCUGAGGUAAACUAAACCAAAUUUACAGAAGUUUUAGUAAAUAAAUAUCCAGUUAUUUUGCCAUUGGGAUAAGUUGCCACCAUCUAAAAAACUGGGGAUUGUAUGUGUUUUUUAUUUAAC